rnacentral:rRNA from 1 species
CAAUAGCGUAUAUUAAAGUUGUUGCGGUUAAAAAGCUCGUAGUUGGAUUUCCGCCGAGGACGACUGGUCCGCCCUCUGGGUGAGCAUCUAGUUCGGCCUGGGCAUCUUCUUGGGAGAACGUAGCUGCACUUGACUGUGUGGGUGCGGUAUCCAGGUACUUUUACCUGAGGAAAUUAGAGUGUUUCAAGCAGGCACUACGCCUUGAAUACAUUAGCAUGGAAUAAUAAGAUAGGACCUCGGUUCUAUUUUUGUUGGUUUCUAGAGCUGAGGUAAUGAUUAAUAGGGAGUAGUUGGGGGCGAUUCGUAUUUAACUGUCAGAGGUGAAAUUC